rnacentral:rRNA from 1 species
AGUGAACGCUGGCGGUAGGCCUAACACAUGCAAGUCGAACGGCAGCACAGUAAGAGCUUGCUCUUACGGGUGGCGAGUGGCGGACGGGUGAGGAAUACAUCGGAAUCUACUUUUUCGUGGGGGAUAACGUAGGGAAACUUACGCUAAUACCGCAUACGACCUACGGGUGAAAGCAGGGGAUCUUCGGACCUUGCGCGAUUGAAUGAGCCGAUGUCGGAUUAGCUAGUUGGCGGGGUAAAGGCCCACCAAGGCGACGAUCCGUAGCUGGUCUGAGAGGAUGAUCAGCCACACUGGAACUGAGACGCGGUCCAGACUCCUACGGGAGGCAGCAGUGGGGAAUAUUGGACAAUGGGCGAAAGCCUGAUCCAGCCAUACCGCGUGGGUGAAGAAGGCCUUCGGGUUGUAAGGCCCUUUUGUUGGGAAAGAAAAGCAGCAGGUUAAUACCCCGCUGUUCUGACGGUACCCAAAGAAUAAGCACCGGCUAACUUCGUG